rnacentral:rRNA from 1 species
AUUGAACGCUGGCGGCAGGCCUAACACAUGCAAGUCGAACGAGUGGCGGACGGGUGAGUAAUGUCUGGGAAACUGCCUGAUGGAGGGGGCUAACUACUGGAAACGGUAGCUAAUACCGCAUACCAUCGGAUGUGCCCAGAUGGGAUUAUCUAGUAGGUGGGGUAAAGGCUCACCUAGGCGACGAUACAUAGCUGGUCUGAGCGGAUGACCAGCAACACUGGAACUGAGAAACGGUCCAGACGCAUAAGGGCGGCAGCAGUGGGGAAUAUGGCGCAAUGGGCGAAAGCCUGAUGCAGCCAUGCCGCGUGUAUGAAGAAGGCUUUCGGGUUGUAAAGUACUUGCAGCGGGGAGGCGUUACCCGAAGAAGAAGCACCGGCUAACUCCGUGCCAGCAGCCGCGGUAAUAC